UAGUAGUGCAUAAUUUGUAAUAGAAGUAUUUAACCCAGUAACAGUUGUUUUGAUUGUAGGCAGCAACCAGAGGAAAACAAAAAAAAAAAAAAAAAAAAGGGGGGGGGGGGGGGAGGCUAAAGUAAAAACUGUGAGAUAUGUUACAAAAUCCUAUAAUCAUAUGCAUAAGUGACUCCUCAUUCUAAUCAGUCUACAAUUUCCGAUGUUAUCUACAAUCAGGACUCCACAGCAUUCAUUGCUUCAUGAAACAACAGGAGUGCCCUCUACAACCAAUAUAUAAUAUAUGAAAAGACCCAGCAUCAUCUAGUUUUAUAACACGAUGACCAUAUGUGGUGCACCAAUACUGUCAGUGAAAGGAGAAAGCUAGAUAUUGUAUCUUUAUGUUUCCACAUAAUAAUUUUGCUUGAGUGUAAUUGUAAAGAAAACAGAGCAUUCUCUCAAGAUCAGAGGACAAAUACAAGGACACAGCCAGAUAUUGGGUAUAAAAUCAUGCAUCUAAGAUUUAUUCAUUGUUGAAUGAAUGAUAUGGACUUGCCUGCACAGUGUCAGAACAGGCAAAACAUACCACUCGUACAAGAAAUGAAAUGGAUGGGUAGA